rnacentral:rRNA from 1 species
CUACGGGGGGCUGCAGUGGGGAAUAUUGCACAAUGGGCGCAAGCCUGAUGCAGCAACGCCGCGUGAACGAAGAAGGUCUUCGGAUCGUAAAGUUCUUUUCUUAGGGAAGAAAAAUGACGGUACCUAAGGAAUAAGCACCGGCUAAAUACGUGCCAGCAGCCGCGGUAAUACGUAUGGUGCAAGCGUUAUCCGGAAUCACUGGGCGUAAAGGGAGCGUAGGCGGUUUUGCAAGUCAGAAGUGAAAGGCUACGGCUCAACCGUGGUAAGCUUUUGAAACUGUAAGACUAGAGUGCAGGAGAGGCAAGUGGAAUUCCUAGUGUAGAGGUGAAAUUCGUAGAUAUUAGGAGGAACACCAGUGGCGAAGGCGACUUGCUGGACUGUAACUGACGCUGAGGCUCGAAAGCGUGGGGAGCGAACAGGAUUAGAUACCCCUGUAGUC